rnacentral:rRNA from 1 species
GUGGGGAAUAUUGGACAAUGGGCGCAAGCCUGAUCCAGCAAUUCCGCGUGAGCGAAGAAGGCCUUCGGGUUGUAAAGCUCUUUCGGCGGGGACGAUAAUGACGGUACCCGCAGAAGAAGCCCCGGCUAACUCCGUGCCAGCAGCCGCGGUAAUACGGAGGGGGCUAGCGUUGUUCGGAAUCACUGGGCGUAAAGCGCACGUAGGCGGCUACUCCAGUCAGAGGUGAAAGCCCGGGGCUCAACUCCGGAAUUGCCUUUGAAACUAGGUAGCUUGAACGUCGGAGAGGUAAGUGGAAUUCCGAGUGUAGAGGUGAAAUUCGUAGAUAUUCGGAAGAACACCAGUGGCGAAGGCGACUUACUGGACGACUGUUGACGCUGAGGUGCGAAAGCGUGGGGAGCAAACAGGAUUAGAAACCCGUGUAGUCC